rnacentral:rRNA from 1 species
CCUUCGGGUGGGGAAUAACUCAGGGAAACUUGAGCUAAUACCGCAUAAUGCAGCGGCUCGACAUCGAGACAGUUGUUAAAGCGGGGAUUCGCAAGAACCUCGCGCCUGAAGAGAAGCCUGCGGCAGAUUAGCUUGUUGGUAGGGUAAUGGCCUACCAAGGCAACGAUCUGUAACCGGCCUGAGAGGGCGGUCGGUCACACUGACACUGACAUACGGGUCAG